rnacentral:rRNA from 1 species
UACGUAGGUGGCGAGCGUUGUCCGGAAUUACUGGGUGUAAAGCGCGUGUAGGCGGCAGGCCAAGUCGGUGGUGAAAGCGCCCGGCUCAACUGGGCGAGGUCCAUGGAAACUGGUCAGCUGGAGGACGGUAGAGGCGAGUGGAAUUCCCGGUGUAGUGGUGAAAUGCGUAGAGAUCGGGAGGAACACCUGUGGCGAAGGCGGCUCGCUGGGCCGGUCCUGACGCUGAGGAGCGAAAGCGUGGGGAGCGAACAGG